rnacentral:rRNA from 1 species
GCGGAGGAAAAGAAAAUAACAAUGAUUUCCCUAGUAACGGCGAGUGAAGAGGAAAGAGCUCAAAGUUGGAACCUGUUUGGCUUAGCCAAACCGGAUUGUAAACUGUAGAAGUGUUUUCCUGACACGCCUGGUAAAAAAGUCCUUUGGAACAGGGCAUCAUAGAGGGUGAGAAUCCCGUCUUUGGCCAGAGCUGUUGUCUUUUGCGAUACAUUUUCAAAGAGUCAGGUUGUUUGGGAAUGCAGCCUAAAUUGGGUGGUAAAUCUCACCUAAAGCUAAAUAUUUGCGAGAGACCGAUAGCGAACAAGUACCGUGAGGGAAAGAUGAAAAGAACUUUGAAAAGAGAGUUAAACAGUAUGUGAAAUUGUUAAAAGGGAACCGUUUGGAGCCAGACUGGCUUGAUCGUAAUCAAUCUAAGCUUCGGCUUGGAUGCACUUGCGGUCUUUGCCUGCCAACGACAAUUUUUUCUGGGGGAAAAAACUAAUGGAAACGUAGCCCAUCUCGGUGGGUGUUAUAGUCCGUUAGAAAAUACCCUGGAUUGGAUUGAGGAACGCAGUGAAUGCUCUUUAGGGCAAGAUUGCUGGGUGCUUUCGCUAAUACAUGCUAAAAUUUCUGCUUCGGGUGGUGUUAGUGUGUAAAGGAGGAACUCGCCUAGUAUAUUUUUUAUUCGCUUAGGUUGUUGGCUUAAUGACUCUAAAUGAC